GACGAACGCUGGCGGCGUGCUUAACACAUGCAAGUCGAACGUGAUUUUUAUGGAAAUUCUUUCGGGAAUGGAAAUGAAAUGAAAGUGGCGAACGGGUGAGUAACACGUGAGCAACCUACCUUACACAGGGGGAUAGCCGUUGGAAACGACGAUUAAUACCGCAUGAGACCACAGAAUCGCAUGAUAUAGGGGUCAAAGAUUUAUCGGUGUAAGAAGGGCUCGCGUCUGAUUAGCUAGUUGGAAGGGUAAAGGCCUACCAAGGCGACGAUCAGUAGCCGGUCUGAGAGGAUGAACGGCCACAUUGGGACUGAGACACGGUCCAAACUCCUACGGGAGGCAGCAGUGGGGAAUAUUGCACAAUGGGGGGAACCCUGAUGCAGCGACGCCGCGUGAGCGAAGAAGGUUUUCGAAUCGUAAAGCUCUGUCCUAUGAGAAGAUAAUGACGGUAUCAUAGGAGGAAGCCCCGGCUAAAUACGUGCCAGCAGCCGCGGUAAUACGUAUGGGGCGAGCGUUGUCCGGAAUUAUUGGGCGUAAAGGGUACGUAGGCGGUUUUUUAAGUCAGGUGUGAAAGCGUGAGGCUUAACCUCAUUAAGCACUUGAAACUGGAAGACUUGAGUGAAGGAGAGGAAAGUGGAAUUCCUAGUGUAGCGGUGAAAUGCGUAGAUAUUAGGAGGAAUACCGGUGGCGAAGGCGACUUUCUGGACUUUUACUGACGCUCAGGUACGAAAGCGUGGGGAGCAAACAGG
rnacentral:rRNA from 1 species